CGCUAGCCUCGGGUCGACGGUUCCUCGCGAGAGGAUCAAAAGGGAACGCGGUGAGGGCGAGGGUCCGCAAGGAUCGCCCGAUGCCGCGGCUGCCCCCGCAACUGUAAGCGGCGAGUCCUUCAUCAACACGUCACUGGGUUCCUCGGGCCUGGGAAGACGAUGACGGGACAGCGACCCGCGAGCCAGGAGACCUGCCGUCAGUCGUGGUCACAC
rnacentral:ncRNA from 2 species